UUGACUCCCAGUUUCUCUCUGC
rnacentral:miRNA from 1 species